GUAAAAUUUGUCUAACAAAAAAUCUAAAUUUAAUAUAAUAACUAGAAACACGUAGAUACUUAAAAUUGUAUAUUUUUUAACGUGCUUUUCAAAUUAAAAAUUAUUUUAAUUAAUUAUAAAAUUGAAAGAAUCUGAAUAAAAUAUAUUCAUUUAAUUUGGGCGGGCCCGGAGAGUGGCCAGCUGGAUGGCUUCCACCGCCUUAUAACACUUGUAUAAAUGCCUGGUUCCCACGGGCUACUGACAGCGAUUGUAUCUUGAUGCAUCUUUUUGCGCUCUUUGCAGUAUGCUCUCUGGUAAAGAAUCCCUUUUCUUAUAAUUUUCUUUUCUUAUUAUUUUCUGCUUGUUAUAUUUAUUCUCGGUCUCGGUUUCUUCCCUUAGAGAGACAUGGAUGAAGAUGGUUCAAUAACUGAUGAAUACGGUUUACUGGUUGAAGCUUGACCUUGUGGGAAACAACCGCCGGUGCAAACAAUCCUUCCCUUCAAUGAAGGCGUUGAAGAACCAGUCGAGCUCCGCGUCCUUGGAGAGCCACAAAGAUUCAGUUGAGAAUUCUUGAGGCUGGUGGUGUUGAUUAUCGGUGGCGGUUACAGACUUACAGUCACAAGAUAAGAAACGCUGGAAGAUUUUGAUGAAAUUUAUUCCUACAUGUUCCAACUAUCAAAAGAACCAAGUUUUGGAGGAAAGCAGUAAGAUGGAAUAUUUUCGGGCUAUCAUUGUCCUUAACUUUAAAGAAGUUUUGAAGAGCAAUUUCGAAUUUUGUUACAGGAGAGCAUCCAAUUAAGGAUAUUGAAUUAUUAGCAAAAGCAUGUUCUCAUAUAUCAGUCAAAUUUAGGUUGAUGCUUUGUGUCUGAUGAAGAUCACAACCAUUAAGACAAAGCCGUUGCAGAACACAAUCAUGUUACUGGGUCCACAGAUCAAACCGAAGACCUCAAGCAGAGGAUCAUUAACCAGGUGGAUUACUACUUCAGUGAUGAAAAUAUGCCCGCAAACAAGCAUAUGUUAGGUUUGAAGAACAAGGUAUGUUUCUAUCACAAUUAACUCAGGGAGUCUUCCUUUUUGGUUGUGAGCUCAGAUGGAAGGAUGGUGAAGCGCCAUCAUCUUUUUCCAUUUGCUGAGAUUAAGGAUCCACUGUUAUGCUCUGUUUUGGUGGUGAUUCUUCCAAAAGAUCACUCAGAACUGAACAUCCAACAAAUAUUUGGUGAAGCUGGGAAGAUAGAAAAAUAUCUCCAUUCGUAAGGGUAGAUGAGAGGGUGGGAGGGGUGAGAUUUCUGAUCAAACCCAAUAGUGUAGAUGUCAUUAGUGGCGAUAGUGAUGGUGGUUUAAGAGGAGGGAGUUGAAAAAAACCAUCAAGAACCAAUGGGGCAUUGUCAAAUAGAGAGUUUCCCGAGGUAUAAUUUUACGAAAAUGGAACUUUAGUGUUUGAUUUAUCUGCAAUUUUAUUUUCCUCUAUUUGAAUAUCAAUUAAAAGGAAAUUUCUCUCUCUUUUUAUUUUAUUUUAUUUUUAUAUACUCUUCAGGAUAAGAACAGAGGGAUUUUAAUUUUGAAUAAAUGAUAGGCUUCCCUUUCAUUUUUAUCAGUUUUUAGGGGAAAAUUUGUGGUUGGUUCUAUUUACAAUACCUUUUUGGUUACAUGGCGAAUCAUGGAGAAUAAAAAAAUUUUAAUGUUAUUUACUGCUUAUCAUAUCACUAUAUUCUGGUUAUUAUAUGUGCAUUUCGUAGCCUCUGAUAAAGUGUCUAAAAUAUGGAUAUGAUGGAGGAACAUACAUUGCUUUUGGAAGAUUGACUCCUAUAAGAGUUUUUAUAUUUUACUCUUGAUAUGUACUGAUUAUCGGAUUUACUAAAUGAUGAAUAUAAAUUACUAUAACUUAGGUUACUUUGUUUUUGACUCUCUUGUUCUUUUAUUAUUAUUAUUAUUAUUAUUAUUAUUAUUAUUAUUAUUAUUAGGGAAAAUUACCAAAAAUUCCUAUACUUUCAAAAUUUUUCCAAUUAUACCAUAUACUUUAAAAUUAUCAAUUAAACCUUACAUUUUGAAAAGUUGUGCAAUUGUACCCCUCCGUUACUCAGUUCAUUAAAUGACUAAUGGAAAUAUCCUACCAUCAUGUUAGAUGCCAUGUCAUGUGGCAUAACGUGGCAUUUCCAUUAGUCACUUAAUGGACUGAGUAAUGGUGAGGUACAAUUGUUCAACUUUCUAAAGUGUAGGGUUUAAUUGGUAAUUUUUAAAGUAUAGGAUAAUUGAAAAAUUUUUGAAAGUACAUGAUUUUUUUUUGGUAAUUUCCUCUUAUUAUUAUUGCAUUUUAACUUUCUUGAAUUUUAGAUUAUUUAAAUUAUUAUUUCAGUUUUAUUAGAUGCUAUGUAAGAUGAGUUGCAUGAGAUUUUAGAGUUUUAGGAAUAUUUGAGGUGGGGAUACUGAUGCUUUUAAUCAUGAUAUGAAAGUUAUUCCAAGUCUUGGCAGUUACGUUUGAAAAAUUGGUUAUCCCUUCUUUGAAUUUGAGUGAGGCAAGUUGAUUUGCCUAAUUUCCUUUAGCAUUGCUUGAUAGAGAUCAUAGGGGUCAGGUAGUAGAACUCCCUGGCAUAUAAUCUUCCCUUUAUUGCUUUAGUUUGUGGAAAUGUAUAUCAUGUAUAAUAUACAACUCCACUCAACUAAACUAAACCUUUAUUCCAAAAAUUUGGGGUCGGCUAUAUGGAUUCGCUUUCUCCACUCUAAACGAUUUUGGGUUAAAUCCUCAGAAAUGUGUAAUGCUUCUAGGUCAUGUUGUACUACUCUCCUCCAAGUCAAUUUAGGUCUAGCCCUUUUUUUCUUUCUAUCCUCUAACCUAAUGUAUUCUACUUGUCUAACUGGAGCUUUCGUAUGUCUACGCUUCACAUGACCAAACCACUUCAAUCUUCCUUCUCUCAACUUAUCCUCAAUUGGCAUCACUUCUAUCUUUUUUCUAAUACUUUCGUUAUGGACUUUAUCUAGUAUAGUAUAGCUACUUAUCUACCUUAACAUUCUCAUAUCCGCAACUCUUAUCUUAGACGCAUACGACUCCUUCAGUGCCCAACAUUCAUUACCAUAUAACAUAGCAGGUCGUAUGGCUGUACAGUAAAAACUUAUUGGGAAUCUUGCGAUCACAUAAAACUCCUGUGGCACGUCUCCACUUCAACCAUCUGGCUUUAAUCCUGUGACUAACAUCCUUCUCACAUCCCCCAUCUACUUGAAGGACUGAGCCGAGAUAUUUAAAAUGAUUACUUUGGGACAGUACCACUCCAUCCAAACUAACUCCUUCCCUAUCACUAGUUUGGCCUUCACUGAACUUAUAAUGCAUGUAUUUUAUCUUCGUUCUACUUAACUUAAAACCCUUUGACUCUAGAGUAUUUUUCUAAAGCUCUAGUUUUCUAUUGACUCCUUCUCGCGUCUUAUCUAUUAGAACAAUAUCAUCCGCAAACAUCAUGCACCAAGGAAUACUCUCUUGUAUAUGUUUCGUCAAUUCAUCUAAAACUAAUGUAAAAAGGUAAGGGCUUAUAGCUGAUCCUUGGUGUAAUCAAAUUGAGAUCGGAAAAUCUUUUGUGUCCCCUCCCACUGUGCGCACAAUAGUAGUUGCUCCUUCAUAAAUAUAUUUCAAUAUUUGUAUGUACCUAAUAGAUACCCUCUUUUGUUCUAACACACUCCAUAAGACAUCUCUUGGAACACUAUCAUAAGUCUUCUCCAAAUCAAUAAAAAUCAUGUGUAGAUCUUUCUUCACAUCUCUAUAUUUCUCCAUCAAGCUUCUAAUGAAAAAGAUCGCUUCCAUAGUUGAACGACUGGGCAUGAAGCCAAAUUGAUUGAGAGAGAUAGAAGUAUCAUGACGUAGUCGAUGCUCCACAAUUCUCUCCCACAACUUCAUAGUAUGGCUCAUGAGUUUAAUUUCCCUAUAGUUUGAGCAACUCUAUAUGUCUCCCUUAUUUUUAAAAAUAGGUACUAAAAUACUUCUCCUCCAUUCAUCAGGCAUUUUCUUUGAGUUUUAAAUCUUAUUAAAUAAUUUAAUUAACCAUGUCACUCCCAUAUCUCCCAAACACUUCCACACUUCAAUUGGUAUUUCAUCGGGUCUAUAGGCUUUACCCACUUUCAUUCUCUUAAGUGCUUCCUUUACUUCUAAAGAUCUAAUCCUUCUAGUAUAAUUCACAUUCUUUUCUAUUGUUCUAUAGUCUAUAUUCACGCUAUUAUUAUUUUGACUAUUGUUAAAGAAAUCAUUAAAAUAGUUUCUCUAUCUUUCUUUAAUGUCCUCAUCUUUUACCAACACUUUUCCUUCUUUAUUCUUAAUGCACCUACUUGAUUGAGAUCUUGGCAUUUCCUUUCUCUCCUUCUUGCUAAUCUAUAAAUAUCUUUUUCCCCUUCUUUAGUUUCAAGUUUCUUAUAUAAUUUUUCAAAGGCCUGUGCUCUUACUUGACUUGCCUCUUUCUUUGCUAUCUUGUACUGUUCAUAUGCCUAAUUAUUAUCACAUUUAGGUAAUUUCUUAUACCAUUAUUUUUUUCUCUUCAUUGCCUUUUGUACUUCCUCAUUCCAUCACCAUCUCUCUUUUGAGGGUAUUCCAUGUCCUUUAGAUUCUCCAAGUACUUUUCUAGCUACUUCUUUAAUCUUUGAUGCCAUCUGUAUCCACAUAUCAUUAGCCUUCAUAUCCAGCUUCCAUGCUUCGGACUCGAGAUGCUAAUUUUUGAACUUCACUUGCUUUACUCCUUUAAACUCCCACCACUUUGUUCGAGCUAUACUAUUUCUUCUGACCUUACUUAAAUUGUUCCUAAACUUGACAUCCAAGACCACUAACCGAUGUUGACUUGUUAAAGCCUCUCCUGGAAUGACCUUGCAAUCCUUGCAUAGAGCUCUAUUUGUCUUCCUGGUUAAGAGGAAUUCGAUUUGUCUUCUAUGUUGCUUAUUUUUGAAAGUCACUAAUGUGACUCUCUUUUUAUAAAGUAGGUAUUUGCUAGUAUUAGGUCGUAUGCUAUAGCAAAAUCUAGGAUGCUUUUUCCCUCCUCAUUUUGACUGCCAAAACCAAAACCUCCAUGAACAUUCUCAUAACCUUGCUUAUCACUUCCUACAUGUCCAUUCAAAUAUCCACCAAUGAAAACAUUCUCUUCAUUCGGUAUGCUUUGCAUUAAAUCAUCCAUAUCUUUCCAAAACCUUUGUUUACUCUCACUAUCUAGUCCUAUUUGUGGGGCAUAAGCACUAAAUACAUUUAUUGUUUCUCCUUCUAGUACUAGUUUUACUAGUAUAAUUCUAUCUUCUACUCUUUUCAUAGCUAUUACAGCGUCUUUCAAUGUCCUGUCUAUGAUUAUGCCUACUCCGUUCUUGUUUCUCUCCUUUCCGGUAAACCACAGUUUGUAUCCUGAAUUAUCCACUUCCUUACUUUUCUCUCAUACCCAUUUAGUCUCCUGAAUGCAAGCAAUAUUCACUCUUCUCCUUUCCAAGGUAUCCACAAGCUUCAUUAAUUUUCCUGUAAGUGAUCCAACAUUCCAAGUACCAACUCUGAUCCUCCUCCUAUCCUGUUUUUUCCUAAUUGGUCUCAUUCUAUGAUAUCUUCUAUUGUUUUCUAUGUCUAUCUUGUGUUCUGUUCUACUAUCUGUUCUACUAUCUGUUCUAUGGACUAACAUUUUUACCCACCCGUCCAUGAUGUGGGAAUACUUGCUCACUUAACACCACACCCGGGCGUCGGAAUGGCGCGUCGCUUUCGGUGAAUGCCUUACACCAUUGCAUAUUUCUCAUUACACCCGGGCUCCGAUGUAGCGUAUCGUAAGUAGAGGACGCCCAAACGUUUAUAUCAUUUGAAUUCAUAUCAUAAGGUGUGACGAAAUUUUUACGCUGGUUGUCACCUACAGCAACCUUCCUCCUUUAUCUGGGCUUGGGACCGGCUAAGCGCAAACUACUUAGGCGGAGUUAUAUCAUGUAUAAUAUAAUUGGAUGUAUUCCUGAGGGAUCAGUUGGAGAAUCAGCUGCAAAGGGUAUGAAUAUUUUUUGAAUUUGAUGACUUUUUCCUCAUUCAUUUUUAUGAUAAUUAAUAGUCCUUUAACACAUUUUUAAAUGCUUUAAUAUUUCAAUGAAUAUCAUAAAAAUUAGGCUUUGCUUUGAAAUUCAAGAAACAGUUCACGUAGCUUAUGUAGGCUGGGUCUCUUGCCUUCAUACUUCUCAAAUCUUCCUUCACAGGUACAAGCACUUUAGCCUGCAUUGUGUUAUACAAGCCAAGCACAGAUCCCUUAUUCCCCUGUUGAGCAUAAACAGCCUUUGUACCUCUUAAAAACGCUAUCAAGAUCCCGGGUGCAGAGGCCAAGGGCCUCAUCACACCAGCAAAGGAGAUUGAGAAGGAUAGAGAAAAGGUGCAUCCUUGGUUCGACAGUAGCGGGAACUAGCCUUGAGGCUCAUGAAUUUACUCAUUCUAUUUGCGAGUCAAUUGAUAUGCACUGUUUUGCUGUGGAUCCAGUAUACAAGGAUUGGUAAAAAAUGUUGGACAUUUAGUGCUCUCAUACAAUUGUUAUGCACAGUUUUAGCACAAAUCGUCUGACUAAAGAAAUUUAAAAUAUUUUUGUAGGACCAAAUAUUUUUUAGUCUAGACAAGGCUACACUCUGCAUAGACGGGCUUACUGCCAGUGCAAGUCAACCACAACUUUUAUUGUUCUUUUUUUUUUUCUUUUUUUGGGGAAAAACUUUCAAGCUCUGUUAAUCCUGGGAUCAUGAGAAUUUAAAGUCACUGUUUUUUUUUGCCCUAGACAGGCAUGCUAUGUCAAAGGUUUUUUCUUGAGUGCUGAAGUUUAAAUUAUGUCCAAUGCUAAGCUUACUAGAUAAUGCUAUUGGAAUCUUAAACAAUUUUUUCCCUAAUAAGAGAACUCCCUGUGCUCUCUUCAGAGCUGAAGUGAAACCAUCAUAUUUGCUGUUUUAUGCAUUGCAGAAAUUGUUGAGCCAGCCUGUUAGGACUUUUAUUUUAUAGUUUAAUUGUUUUUCAUUAGAUGUGUUAUAGAUGAACCAUGUAAUUUGUAUUUUUCCUAUAAGUUGAUCCAGAUGCACAAUUAUUAAUCCUACAACACAAUUGCCUAUGUAUGGUGCCUGGAGAAUUUAGGCUGCUAUUAGUUAAAUGACCAUUUAAACAUCUCAAGUGCUGUAUGUAAUUGGAAUUCUUAGUGGGAUUGAAGUCAAUUUGCAUCUGUUGUUUUUUAUCCUCUUUAGUUAUUGGUCUCUUAAGUGUUACUGAUUUUUUUUAAUUUGUUAACGUGCUGAUGUUGACAGUUGGGUCCCUUUUGUUUGGCAGCUGCUACCAUCAUCAACAAAUUUUGGGGUGUUUUUAAUAUUUCUUACAAUAGUCUUUUAAAUGGAUUUCCACCUGAUGGUUCUUUUUUUUUUCCUCGAUUUAUUUCUGUUUUGGAUGCCAUUGUUUUUUUCCCCGGUAUAUUGGUGCUAAUUUUGGCUUUUCCCUUUCUUUUUUGGCAAUUGGGAUCAUUAGGUGUGUUUUUUUACACCAAUUUUUCUUAGUGUAGCUAGCCACGAACUUUGCUUUUAUUGCAUCUUAAAUAAAUUUUAAUGCUUUAUAUAUAUUUUUUAAUGCUUCUGUAUAGUCAAUAACAACAUGCCCGACUACCCAUAUUUGAUUCUUGAUAAUUCUUUUUUAGAAGUUGAUUUUGCUCUGCUGUUAAAAUGAAUUAGUGGCAAACUAUGAAUAGAGAAGAAACUGAGAUAUUUAAGUUUGAAGAAAGGUAACGUCCCUGUUAUUGUAAGUAGGCGGUGAAAAUGCUAUUGAACAUUUUGCUUAGGUGGUCAAAAACACAAAUGAGUUUGUGCCAAACUAUGAAUAGAAAAGAAGCUCAGAUAUUUAAGUUUGGACCUGUUAUUGCAAGUGGUGAUACAAGUAUCAUUUAACAUUUUGCUUAGGCAUUAAAAAAAACAAAUGUUUGCUGUUCUUGCCUCUUGCAUUUUCUGUGGGAAGGAGGUAUAGGCUAUGUAAUUUUUUUGUACUUUAUUAUCAUCUAAUUGUUGCUAGAUACUAUUAACCCUUAUCCUUUGAAUUUUGGGCUGUCAUUUCAAGGAAAUUAUUGUGUUUUUGGUGAUUUUUUAGGUUUGAUUGUAUGCAUAUAGGGUGAGUGUAUUAUUGCGUUUGUGUCAUCCGUGAUGUAUGGUAAAAAAAAGUGCAUUAGGAUAGCUGAGGUUGUAAAUUUGUAUUUUUAAUAACUGUGCUGGGAGAGAGAGAAGUAUGUUUUGCUGUUAUUUAAUUUGCAUUGUUUGCUUUCAGUUGUUAGAUUUGACAAUUUUUUUAUAUGAAAAGACCAAUUGAUAGCUAAAGGCAAAAAAUUUUUUGUAGCCUGCCAAUUUGGAAAACAAGUUUUUCAUUUUCUUUUUUAAGUUAGAAAGCUAAUUUUUAAACAUUGGCCAGUUCAAGUUUGUUUCAGCUCAUUGGUACUUGGACUAAAGAUUUGGUUUUUAGGUGUUAAUUAAUAGCUAAAGGCAUAAAAUUUUGGUUCCCUGCUGAAUGAAGAGAAGAGAAAUAAAACAUAAAAUUAAUUUUCUUCAAGAAAGUUUUAUGUUAGAAGUAUGGUUUUUUACUACUGCCUGAUUCAACUUUGUUUCUAGUAAUUGGUACUCUGGUGAAAAGUCUUGGUUGUUAGGUUUUAGUUUGUGACUUCCAUUAAAAAUGUAGAAGAUUGUUGAGGGAGGGCCUAUUGGUUUUGGUGCUGCUUGGUGUUUUUGCCCAUGUUUACUUACAUUUUGCUUGCGCUACUUAACUGAAAAUGGCACCUUUUGUUUUCCCCCUAUUUUGCUCUGAUGGUUUACUUCUGUUUUGCUCCUGCUGCUCCAUGCUUUCUCCACGCGCUUUGAAGCUUUGUCCUCCUCAUUCUCUGCCUUUGGAUUUGCUCCUCUUCCAAUCAUAUGGUGGCUCCAUGAUAAAAUGUUAAAUUCAUGUUUUGAUCCAUAAACCUGUUCUCUUUGCAGAACUUCAAGCUUUUUAUUUUUUAAUAGAAAAUACAGGCUACUUGACUGUUUAGCGUUGAUCCAAUCAACUUUCAUCCUGUGUGCAUUAUUGUUACUUUUGUCUGUUGAAGAUGAAAAUUGCUGCAAGUUUCUUUCUCUAACACUGAGUUAAUUAUCUUUAUAUUAGGAUUUCCAUCGACAAAAAAUUGAAGAUUGUCCAAGCAGAGCUAUUUUUAUUUUC